UACAGAGGUCCCAAGCGUUGUUCGGAUUUACUGGGCGUAAAGCGCGCGUAGGUGGCCACAUAAGUCCGUUGUGAAAGUCAAAGGCUCAACCUUUGAAAGCCGAUGGAUACUGUGUGGCUAGAGUACGGAAGAGGCGAGUGGAAUUCCUGGUGUAGCGGUGGAAUGCGCAGACAUCAGGAGGAACACCAAUAGCGAAGGCAGAUCUCUGGGCCGUAACUGACGCUGAGGAGCGAAGGCAUGGGGAGCGAACAGG
rnacentral:rRNA from 1 species